GAUGAACGCUGGCGGCGUGCCUAACACAUGCAAGUCGAGCGGGGUUGUGGAGUAGCUUGCUACGAAGCAAUCUAGCGGCGGACGGGUGAGUAACGCGUGGGCAACCUGCCCUAUACAGGGGGAUAACACACCGAAAGGUGUGCUAAUACCCCAUAACACCGAUGCUUCGCAUGGAGCGCCGGUCAAAGAUUUAUCGGUAUAGGAUGGGCCCGCGUCUGAUUAGCUAGUUGGUGAGGUAAAGGCUCACCAAGGCGACGAUCAGUAGCCGACCUGAGAGGGUGAUCGGCCACACUGGAACUGAGACACGGUCCAGACUCCUACGGGAGGCAGCAGUGGGGAAUAUUGCACAAUGGGGGAAACCCUGAUGCAGCAACGCCGCGUGAGCGAUGAAGG
rnacentral:rRNA from 1 species